CUUUCGGGGGAUAUGCUCAAGGUAUUAUAUUAGUAUUAGGGCAGAAAUUUAGUUAUUAUAUUUAUUAUACAAAGUGGAGGAUUAAUUUAGUAGGAGGGUGUUAAGAUUUUUUAGAAAAAUUACAUCAAUCGAGGGGUAGCUGUUGAGGCGUUCAUGGUUAAAAUAUGAUUUCUGGGCUCUGACUGGGCUGCAUUUUAGUCUUUUGUUUUUGGGGUUUGGCAAGGAUACAUUUAGCUAGGUUGAUAGUAAAGUCAGAGAUGCGGGGAGGGGGUAUUGCAGAUUUAAUCGGAAAUAGUUCUUGAAAUUCAGAGUGCAUGCGACGGGCGUGAGCGUCGGUACGGGCGUGAGCGUCGGUACGGGCGUGAGCGUCGGUACGGGCGUGAGCGUCGGUACGGGCGUGAGCGUCGGUACGGGCGUGAGCGUCGGUACGGGCGUGAGCGUCGGUACAGGCUUGCGUGUCUAUUAAUUGUUAUGUCCUUCAAGCAUGAAUUAAGUAACACCUUCUGGUUAUAAUGCCAGCCUGGAAUAUGAAUAUAAGGUUAGCUUCUACAAUUGAUUUGGCAGGAAUCAAAUCCGAGUUCCUCUACUGCGGAUUCGGCAGGGACCAGAAAAGGGAGUAACAGAAGAAAAAACUCACCUUUCUUCAAGAAAUAUUCCAACUGCUCUGCAUCUGUGAACAUGCUCUGCCUUCACUCCUGUCACUGAAGAUCCUUCACUGCACAGCUCUUUACCUCUACUCAACGUGAGUCUCAAUGUCUCUUUAGUUAAUUGUAUAAUGGCCAUAAUCCUCCCAGAAAUUUAUGUUGAUACUUCGUCACAAUGUUAAAAUAAAUCAUGGGUCUUGGUCAUAACUUCAAGAUAGUACUUGCCCAAGUUACUUAUUAAUUAGAAAUGGAAAGAUAGUAAUAUCAAAGAGCAGAAGUUACACACUACCUGAACUCAGCAAAACAAGUUAACCUCAUCAGUAAUGGGACAAAUAGAAAUCAUGUGCUUCCUAUCAUUAUGCUCAGAGAAGGAUGAAAUAUUUCCUCUGGUAACCCUGCCAAAAAUGUUUAACUUGAAUUUAAUCAUAAAGAAACAUCAUACAAAUAUGUAAAUAGAGGAACAUCCCACAAAUAUCAAGGACAUCAAAGACAACAAAAAUCCAAGGAAUUGUUCCAGAUUAUGGGAGAUUAAAGAAAUUUAACAACUCAGUGCAAGUUAAAAUCUUGCCUUGGAUCCAGGACCAGAUUUUUGUCACUUAUAGCAAUGGAACAAUAGGAAAUAUUUAAGUAAGGUCAUUAAAUAAGAUACUAGUACUGUAUCAAUGCUGAUACUACAGUUUUUAUACUUACACUAUAGUUAAAUAUAAUCUUCAUCUUUUUUCUUAAGAAAAAAUAUUGAACAUAACAGUACAGAUUUAAAACACUGUAAGAUGGUAACAGAAAAUUCAACAGGUUUUUGACUUGUUUGCUACAGUAUGUGGAGGUACUGACCUGAAAAAUACAGAAAUUCACCAUUCUGAAUUAUCUUGUAUUUUAUUUCAAAUCCAUUUAAUUAACCUUUCAAACAUAUGGUUUUAAAUAUCCAUGUCUUAUAUAGAAAACUGCUUGAAAUAUUUCUGUGUUACUUGAAUAACCAUUAUGUGUAUAUGCAUAAACCAGGAAAGGUCUAAUUGCUAUUUGCAUGAAUUAUUUACAGCUAAGUGGCCCAUGAAAAAAAUGAGAGUCCAUAAAAAUGCUAUUGUGUGCUAAAACCAAUCUGUCUUGCUCAUUUUAAUUGUGAAUGAGAAUAUCAGUUUAUAGAUUUUAGAAGCAUA
rnacentral:lncRNA from 10 species